rnacentral:piRNA from 1 species
UAAUUUCUUCAAAAAAAAAUA